rnacentral:sRNA from 1 species
CUCAGUGAGUUUGAUGAAGCCAAGCGGAGUUGCAGGAGACGCUUAGCUGGACACAACGAGAGAAGGCGGAAAAGCACAACUGACUAAAGACGGUGAAACGUGUGAGAUCCCGGUUUGAAGGUUAAUGAAACAGGCUUUGCUUACUCUCUUCUGUCAGUCUCUUU